rnacentral:rRNA from 1 species
GACGAACGCUGGCGGCGUGCUUAACACAUGCAAGUCGAACGCUGAAGCUUGGUGCUUGCACUGGGUGGAUGAGUGGCGAACGGGUGAGUAAUACGUGAGUAACCUGCCCUUGACUCUGGGAUAAGCCUGGGAAACUGGGUCUAAUACUGGAUACGACAUGUCACCGCAUGGUGGCGUGUGGAAAGGGUUUUACUGGUUUUGGAUGGGCUCACGGCCUAUCAGCUUGUUGGUGGGGUAAUGGCUCACCAAGGCGACGACGGGUAGCCGGCCUGAGAGGGUGACCGGCCACACUGGGACUGAGACACGGCCCAGACUCCUACGGGAGGCAGCAGUGGGGUAUAUUGCACAAUGGGCGAAAGCCUGAUGCAGCGACGCCGCGUGAGGGAUGACGGCCUUCGGGUUGUAAACCUCUUUCAGCACGGAAGAAGCGAAAGUGACGGUACGUGCAGAAGAAGCGCCGGCUAACUACGUG